GACGAACGCUGGCGGCGUGCCUAAUACAUGCAAGUAGAACGCUGAAGGAGGAGCUUGCUCUUCUGGAUGAGUUGCGAACGGGUGAGUAACGCGUAGGUAACCUGCCUGGUAGCGGGGGAUAACUAUUGGAAACGAUAGCUAAUACCGCAUAAGAGUAGAUGUUGCAUGACAUUUGCUUAAAAGGUGCAAUUGCAUCACUACCAGAUGGACCUGCGUUGCAUUAGCUAGUUGGUGGGGUAACGGCUCACCAAGGCGACGAUACAUAGCCGACCUGAGAGGGUGAUCGGCCACACUGGGACUGAGACACGGCCCAGACUCCUACGGGAGGCAGCAGUAGGGAAUCUUCGGCAAUGGACGGAAGUCUGACCGAGCAACGCCGCGUGAGUGAAGAAGGGUUUCGGAUCGUAAAGCUCUGUUGUAAGAGAAGAACGAGUGUGAGAGUGGAAAGUUCACACUGUGACGGUAUCUUACCAGAAAGGGACGGCUAACUACGUG
rnacentral:rRNA from 1 species